rnacentral:rRNA from 1 species
UACGUAGGGGGCAAGCGUUGUCCGGAAUCAUUGGGCGUAAAGCGCGUGUAGGCGGCCCGAUAAGUCCGCUGUGAAAGUCCAGGGCUCAACCCUGGAAAGCCGGUGGAUACUGUCGGGCCCGAGUCCGGAAGAGGCGAGUGGAAUUCCUGGUGUAGCGGUGAAAUGCGCAGAUAUCAGGAGGAACACCGAUGGCGAAGGCAGCUCGCUGGGACGGUACUGACGCUGAGACGCGAAAGCGUGGGGAGCAAACAGG